rnacentral:rRNA from 1 species
CAGUCGCCGCGGUAAUACAGAGGGUGCAAGCGUUAAUCGGAUUUACUGGGCGUAAAGCGUGCGUAGGCGGCUUUUUAAGUCGGAUGUGAAAUCCCUGAGCUUAACUUAGGAAUUGCAUUCGAUACUGGGAAGCUAGAGUAUGGGAGAGGAUGGUAGAAUUCCAGGUGUAGCGGUGAAAUGCGUAGAGAUCUGGAGGAAUACCGAUGGCGAAGGCAGCCAUCUGGCCUAAUACUGACGCUGAGGUACGAAAGCAUGGGGAGCAAACAGGAUUAGAUACCCGUGUAGUCCCUGUCUCUUAUAA